GACGAACGCUGGCGGCGUGCUUAACACAUGCAAGUCGAACGGAAAGGCCCUGCUUUUGUGGGGUGCUCGAGUGGCGAACGGGUGAGUAACACGUGAGUAACCUGCCCUUGACUUUGGGAUAACUUCAGGAAACUGGGGCUAAUACCGGAUAGGAGCUCCUGCUGCAUGGUGGGGGUUGGAAAGUUUCGGCGGUUGGGGAUGGACUCGCGGCUUAUCAGCUUGUUGGUGGGGUAGUGCCUUACCAAGGCUUUGACGGGUUGCCGGCUUGAGAGGGUGACCGGCCACAUUGUGACUGAGAUACGUCCCAGACUCCUACGUGAGGCAGCAGUGGGGAAAAUUGCACUAUGGGCGGAAGCCUAAUGCAGCAACGCCGCGUGCGGUAUGACGGCCUUCGGGUUGUAAUCCGCUUUCGCCUGUGACGAAGCGUGAGUGACGGUAAUGGGUAAAGAAGCACCGGCUAACUACGUG
rnacentral:rRNA from 1 species